GCCGUGGCGGCGUGCUAUACAUGCAGUCGAACGCACAGCGAAAGGUGCUUGCACCUUUCAAGUGAGUGGCGAACGGGUGAGUAACACGUGGACAACCUGCCUCAAGGCUGGGGAUAACAUUUGGAAACAGAUGCUAAUACCGAAUGAAACUUAGUGUCGCAUGAUACGAAGUUAAAAGGCGCUUUGGCGUCACCUAGAGAUGGAUCCGCGGUGCAUUAGUUAGUUGGUGGGGUAAAGGCCUACCAAGACAAUGAUGCAUAGCCGAGUUGAGAGACUGAUCGGCCACAUUGGGACUGAGACACGGCCCAAACUCCUACGGGAGGCUGCAGUAGGGAAUCUUCCACAAUGGGCGAAAGCCUGAUGGAGCAACGCCGCGUGUGUGAUGAAGGCUUUCGGGUCGUAAAGCACUGUUGUAUGGGAAGAACAGCUAGAAUAGGGAAUGAUUUUAGUUUGACGGUACCAUACCAGAAAGGGACGGCUAAAUACGUGCCAGCAGCCGCGGUAAUACGUAUGUCCCGAGCGUUAUCCGGAUUUAUUGGGCGUAAAGCGAGCGCAGACGGUUGAUUAAGUCUGAUGUGAAAGCCCGGAGCUCAACUCCGGAAUGGCAUUGGAAACUGGUUAACUUGAGUGCAGUAGAGGUAAGUGGAACUCCAUGUGUAGCGGUGGAAUGCGUAGAUAUAUGGAAGAACACCAGUGGCGAAGGCGGCUUACUGGACUGUAACUGACGUUGAGGCUCGAAAGUGUGGGUAGCAAACAGGAUUAGAUACCCUGGUAGUCCACACCGUAAACGAUGAACACUAGGUGUUAGGAGGUUUCCGCCUCUUAGUGCCGAAGCUAACGCAUUAAGUGUUCCGCCUGGGGAGUACGACCGCAAGGUUGAAACUCAAAGGAAUUGACGGGGACCGCACAAGCGGUGGAGCAUGUGGUUUAAUUCGAAGCAACGCGAAGAACCUUACCAGGUCUUGACAUCCUUUGAAGCUUUUAGAGAUAGAAGUGUUCUCUUCGGAGACAAAGUGACAGUGGUGCAUGGUCGUCGUCAGCUCGUGUCGUGAGAUGUUGGGUUAAGUCCGCAACGAGCGCAACCCCUAAUGGUUAGUUGCCAGCAUUCAGAUGGGCACUUCUAGCGAAG
rnacentral:rRNA from 1 species